GGAAAACUCACCAGGUCCAGACAUAGUAAGGAUUGACAGAUUGAUAGCUCUUUCUUGAUUCUAUGGGUGGUGGUGCAUGGCCGAUCUUAGUUGGUGGAGUGAUUUGUCUGCUUAAUUGCGUUAACGAACGAGACCUUAACCUGCUAAAUAGUCCGUUUUAUCUUCGGAUAGAAUGCCGACUUCUUAGAGGGACUUUGUGUAUUUAGCACAAGGAAGUUUGAGGCCAUAU
rnacentral:rRNA from 1 species